UAAUAGUGUAUAUUAAAGUUGUUGCAGUUAAAAAGCUCGUAGUUGGAUUUCGGAUGGGACUUGCCGGUCCGUCGUUUCGAUGUGCACUGGCCAGUCCUAUCUUGUUGUCGGGGACUAGCUCCUGGGCUUCACUGUCCGGGACUAGGAGCUGACGAGGUUACUUUGAGUAAAUUAGAGUGUUCAAAGCAAGCCUACGCUCUGAAUACAUUAGCAUGGAAUAACACGAUAGGACUCUGGCUUAUCUUGUUGGUCUGUGAGACCAGAGUAAUGAUUAAGAGGGACAGUCGGGGGCAUUCGUAUUUCAUUGUCAGAGGUGAAAUUCUUGGAUUUAUGAAAGACGAACUUCUGCGAAAGCAUUUGUCAAGGAUGUUUUCAUUAA
rnacentral:rRNA from 1 species